rnacentral:rRNA from 1 species
UACAGAGGUCCCAAGCGUUGUUCGGAUUCACUGGGCGUAAAGGGUGCGUAGGUGGUGAGGUAAGUCGGAUGUGAAAUCUCCGAGCUCAACUCGGAAAUGGCAUUGGAAACUACCUUGCUCGAGGGUUGGAGGGGGGACUGGAAUGCUUGGUGUAGCAGUGAAAUGCGUAGAUAUCAAGCGGAACACCAGUGGCGAAGGCGGGUCUCUGGGCCGAUACUGACGCUGAGGAGCGAAAGCGUGGGGAGCAAACAGG